rnacentral:rRNA from 1 species
AGAAAUCAACCGAGAUUCCCCCAGUAGCGGCGAGCGAACGGGGAGGAGCCCAGAGUCUGAAUCAGUGUGUGUGUUAGUGGAAGCGUCUGGAAAGGCGUGCGAUACAGGGUGACAGCCCCGUACACAAAAAUGCACAUAUUGUGAGCUCGAUGAGUAGGGCGGGACACGUGGUAUCCUGUCUGAAUAUGGGGGGACCAUCCUCCAAGGCUAAAUACUCCUGACUGACCGAUAGUGAACCAGUACCGUGAGGGAAAGGCGAAAAGAACCCCGGCGAGGGGAGUGAAAAAGAACCUGAAACCGUGUACGUACAAGCAGUGGGAGCCUCUUAAUGGGGUGACUGCGUACCUUUUGUAUAAUGGGUCAGCGACUUAUAUUCUGUAGCAAGGUUAACCGAAUAGGGGAGCCGAAGGGAAACCGAGUCUUAACUGGGCGUUAAGUUGCAGGGUAUAGACCCGAAACCCGGUGAUCUAGCCAUGGGCAGGUUGAAGGUUGGGUAACACUAACUGGAGGACCGAACCGACUAAUGUUGAAAAAUUAGCGGAUGACUUGUGGCUGGGGGUGAAAGGCCAAUCAAACCGGGAGAUAGCUGGUUCUCCCCGAAAGCUAUUUAGGUAGCGCCUCGUGAAUUCAUCUCCGGGGGUAGAGCACUGUUUCGGCAAGGGGGUCAUCCCGACUUACCAACCCGAUGCAAACUGCGAAUACCGGAGAAUGUUAUCACGGGAGACACACGGCGGGUGCUAACGUCCGUCGUGAAGAGGGAAACAACCCAGACCGCCAGCUAAGGUCCCAAAGUCAUGGUUAAGUGGGAAACGAUGUGGGAAGGCCCAGACAGCCAGGAUGUUGGCUUAGAAGCAGCCAUCAUUUAAAGAAAGCGUAAUAGCUCACUGGUCGAGUCGGCCUGCGCGGAAGAUGUAACGGGGCUAAACCAUGCACCGAAGCUGCGGCAGCGACACUAUGUGUUGUUGGGUAGGGGAGCGUUCUGUAAGCCUGUGAAGGUGGCCUGUGAGGGUUGCUGGAGGUAUCAGAAGUGCGAAUGCUGACAUAAGUAACGAUAAAGCGGGUGAAAAGCCCGCUCGCCGGAAGACCAAGGGUUCCUGUCCAACGUUAAUCGGGGCAGGGUGAGUCGACCCCUAAGGCGAGGCCGAAAGGCGUAGUCGAUGGGAAACAGGUUAAUAUUCCUGUACUUGGUGUUACUGCGAAGGGGGGACGGAGAAGGCUAUGUUGGCCGGGCGACGGUUGUCCCGGUUUAAGCGUGUAGGCUGGU